GACGAACGCUGGCGGCGUGCUUAACACAUGCAAGUCGAACGGAAGGGCCCUGCUUUUGUGGGGUGCUCGAGUGGCGAACGGGUGAGUAACACGUGAGUAACCUGCCCUUGACUUUGGGAUAACUUCAGGAAACUGGGGUUAAUACCGGAUAGGAGCUCCUGCUGCAUGGUGGGGGUUGGAAAGUUUCGGCGGUUGGGGAUGGACUCGCGGCUUAUCAGCUUGUUGGUGGGGUAGUGGCUUACCAAGGCUUUGACGGGUAGCCGGCCUGAGAGGGUGACCGGCCACAUUGGGACUGAGAUACGGCCCAGACUCCUACGGGAGGCAGCAGUGGGGAAUAUUGCACAAUGGGCGGAAGCCUGAUGCAGCAACGCCGCGUGCGGGAUGACGGCCUUCGGGUUGUAAACCGCUUUCGCCUGUGACGAAGCGUGAGUGACGGUAAUGGGUAAAGAAGCACCGGCUAACUACGUG
rnacentral:rRNA from 1 species